rnacentral:tRNA from 1 species
GCCGCCGUAGCUCAACGGCAGAGCACCGCACUUGUAAUGCGGGGGUUACCGGUUCAAGUCCGGUCGGCGGCUCCA